CACGUAAGGGGCGAGCGUUGUUCGGAUUUAUUGGGCGUAAAGGGCGUGUAGGCGGUAAGAUAAGUCUGGUGUGAAAUAUCCCGGCUCAACCGGGGAGGCGCGCUGGAAACUGUCUUACUUGAGUGAUGGAGGGGGAGCUGGAAUUCCUGGUGUAGGGGUGAAAUCUGUAGAGAUCAGGAAGAACACCGGAGGCGAAGGCGAGCUCCUGGCCAUUUACUGACGCUGAGGCGCGAAAGCGUGGGGAGCGAACAGG
rnacentral:rRNA from 1 species